UUUGAUUCACCUCUGCCACCUUUCUCCUGUGUGUACGUCACUAGUAGGGGCUUGGGCUGGGUUCCAAUUAGUUUAGUGCGAACAGGCAUAGAUAUAUACACCUUGGGUCCUUAUGCCGGUAGCCAUCCAUUGCUGAUUGUGGAGUGAAGCCGCGUUUUGGAGCGUUGUCUUCAGCGACACGGUAGCGUGUUAUAGAGCGGAUGCCAACAGGAACGAGUUGAGCGUCUUCCCUACCAACUGCAAUCCAUAUCCCGUUUACAUGCAUCGCAACGUGUUAAGUAGCAGUCAGUGUAUCAGUGCGGUGGUUAUUGUGGUUGCUGGCCGCGUAUAGAUACCAGGUGCAUGACGUUCUCGGGUGCAGCUGUUUAGACAGCGAAGAAGCUAUUGAAGCACACAGCUAUACAGCAUUGUUAGCUGCUGUUCUCUUCCAGUUAGUUAUAGGUCCGGGUGCUGCUUUUAGAAUAUAUGUAUCUCUGUUUUCCCCUCUAGCCUGGGGGCCUAGGUGUGUAUAUGUGGUUAAGAGGAUAUUGUGAGCCACAGGUUAGAGGGUUUAUUUUUGUUUGUUUGUUUCAUUAAUUUGUUAUCUGUUUCCCCUGUGUCAUCUCCCCUGCCGCAAUAGCCUGGGUAUCGUUUGGGGCCCUAGCCUAGAUUACAGGUUGGCCAGGUUUUCCUCUAAGAUAGUUUCUCACCUUUGAUAAGAUGUGCAGUGUAAUGCAGUGAAGUGU